AUUGAACGCUGGCGGCAUGCCUUACACAUGCAAGUCGAACGGCAGCACGGGAGCAAUCCUGGUGGCGAGUGGCGAACGGGUGAGUAAUAUAUCGAAACGUGCCCAGUCGUGGGGGAUAACGUAGCGAAAGCUACGCUAAUACCGCAUACGAUCUAUGGAUGAAAGCGGGGGAUCGCAAGACCUCGCGCGAUUGGAGCGGCCGAUAUCAGAUUAGGUAGUUGGUGAGGUAAAGGCUCACCAAGCCGAGGAUCUUUAGCUGGUCUGAGAGGACGACCAGCCACACUGGGACUGAGACACGGCCCAGACUCCUACGGGAGGAAGCAGUGGGGAAUUUUGGACAAUGGGCGCAAGCCUGAUGCAGCAAUGCCGCGUGCAGGAUGAAGGCCUUCGGGUUGUAAACUGCUUUUGUACGGAACGAAACGGUGAGCUCUAAUACAGUUUGCUAAUGACGGUACCGUAAGAAUAAGCACCGGCUAACUACGUGCCAGCCGCCGCCGUAA
rnacentral:rRNA from 1 species